UAAUAGUUAAGCUAGCUAGCUAAAUACGUCCCACUGCGUAGAUCCUCAAUCUUUGAUUUGAUUGGUCAGGUCGGAAUCCGCACAAUAGCAAUACGAGGAAAGGCGGCUGAUUCAUGAGACUACUCUCUGCUAUAUAUGUGCUAGCUUUGACUAGAUCAACUGCAUGCAUGUGCAUGCCUUUGCUGUACCUGAUUCUAUAAAAGCACGCUAAUUGGAGGUUUCUUCAUUCUCAGCAGAGAGUUCAAAUCAACAACAAAAGACAAGAAAAGCCAACGGAACGAAAUGAAGUUGCUGCUGCUUGUGAUUUGCUGUAUGCAUUUCCACAUCACUAGCUGGUCUGGUUGACAAAGAGGUUAAACUGGAAACUGUGCUCAAUGAAGUUGAAGAGAUAUUGCAAGACCUGAAAGCUGAUGAUGAUGAGCCUCAUCUCGAACCAAUUGGAGACAUUCAAAAACUUGAGUCGCUGAUCAAUGAUCGUGAACUUCAAAAUGGAGCAAAUAUCGAGGGAGAUAUUUCACCAAAGCCAUCCCACGAACAAGACUCACAAGGUGAACUUCAGAAUGGAGCAGAUAUAUCGAGGGAGAUAUUUCACCAAAGCCAUCCCACGAACAAGACUCACAAGGGAGUCCUGCCACCAUGGAGGAGAUGUUGCUUCACACUGAGAACAUUGACGAGGCAACUGCUGAAGUGGAAGCUGCUGGGGGCCACGUUCUACUCCAACUUGGUCACAACCUCUUGGUUGCAAAUGUCCCCUCUUAUGUAGCCAAGCAAAAUAGCUUCAGUCAAGCUUCAGCCCAUAUAUCAAGCUCAGCAUCAGCAGAAACUUUAAGCCAUGCUAAUGCCUACUGGAUGGCACGAGAAGAUGAGCUGAAACCACAACCAAUGAUUCAAAAGUGGACAGAAAAAACGGCUCCAAUGGCCUUUAA